rnacentral:rRNA from 1 species
UACGGAGGGGGCGAGCGUUGUCCGAAGUUACUGGGCGUAAAAGCGCGCGUAGGCGGGUGGGUAAGUCCGCUGUGAAAGCCCGGAGCUUAACUCCGGAGGGUCGGUGGAUACUGCCCAUCUUGAAGGUGCUAGGGGGAGAUGGAAUUACCGGUGUAGCGGUGAAAUGCGUAGAGAUCGGUAGGAACACCAGUGGCGAAGGCGGUCUCCUGGAGCAUACUUGACGCUGAGGCGCGAAAGCUGGGGGGAGCGAACGGG